ensembl:misc_RNA Y_RNA Y RNA
GGCUGGUAAGAAGGUAGUGAGUUAUUGCAAUUGAUUGUUCACAUCAGUUACAGAUCGAACUCCUUGCUCUACUCUCUUCCCCGUUCUCACUGCUGCACUGGACUUGUCUAAU